GAUGAACGCUAGCGGCAGGCUUAAUACAUGCAAGUCGAGGGGCAUCAAGGUACACGAAAGUGUAUUGUUGGCGACCGGCGGACGGGUGAGUAAUAGGUAGGUAACCUACCUCAUACUGAGGCAUAGCUGGGAGAAAUUCCAGGUAAUUCCUCAUGAGGUUAUAUGACACAUGUGAUAUAAUCAAAGGUAUCGCAAGGUACUGGUAUGAGAUGGGCUUACUGACCAUUAGCUAGUUGGUGAGAUAAGAGCUCACCAAGGCGAAGAUGGUUAGGGGUUUUGAGAGAGAGAUCCCCCACAUUGGAACUGAGAUACGGUCCAGACUCCUACGGGAGGCAGCAGUAGGGAAUAUUGGGCAAUGGGCGGAAGCCUGACCCAGCCAUGCCGCGUGAAGGAAGACGGCCUUAUGGGUUGUAAACUCUUUACUAUGCGACUAACUAGAUUUACGAGAUAAUUCUAUAGAAUGUAGCAUAGCAAAAGCACCGG
rnacentral:rRNA from 1 species